rfam:Loxodonta africana unplaced genomic scaffold scaffold_8, whole genome shotgun sequence.
GCCCUGGUGGCUCAGUGGUUAAAGCACUUGGCUGCUAACCAAAAGGUCAACGGUUCAAACCCACUAGCCCA